CAAGAACCACACAGAAAAGGGAGGCAAAGGGGCCUACAGGGCUAGUAGCUUAUACGUUGUUGAACGUCCUGCCUGGACCCGGAGCCGCCCCCAUCUAAACCCUCUGCGUACCUGUCCCUUCUUGCUUCCCCCGGCAUCUCGUCGGGGGGAGGUAACAACCAAAACCCUCUGUGAAUCAAACAGCCGUCAGAAUUAUAAAACAAACAAAAGUUAAAACUUUCAACAACGGAUCUCUUGGUUCCCACAUCGAUGAAGAACGCAGCGAAAUGCGAUAAGUAAUGUGAAUUGCAGAAUUCAGUGAAUCAUCGAAUCUUUGAACGCACAUUGCGCCCCCUGGUAUUCCGGGGGGCAUGCCUGUUCGAGCGUCAUAAAAACCUCCUCCCCCUUCGGGUUUUGUUACUAUCGUUGGGGGGUUUUGGCCUAAUGGGAUAGCGAUUGGCAAUUCGUUUCCCAAUGUCCUAAAUAGACGUAGACCCGCCUCCAGAUGCGACAGCACCGAGGCCAUCAACCGUGGAGUUAUGGGAUAUAAUAGGCUUGCAGUAAAAUGCUCACCUCUCUCCACACGCCGAUGGCACGACAGUUGCAGUUGCGGGCGUAAAUUGGAGCCCUUUUCAGGACCCUUGUGGCCUAGCAUCCACCAUACAUAAUUUGACCUCGGAUCAGGUAGGGAUACCCGCUGAACUUAAGCAU
rnacentral:rRNA from 1 species